rnacentral:rRNA from 1 species
AGUGAACGCUGGCGGUAGGCCUAACACAUGCAAGUCGAACGGCAGCACAGUAAGAGCUUGCUCUUACGGGUGGCGAGUGGCGGACGGGUGAGGAAUACAUCGGAAUCUACUUUUUCGUGGGGGAUAACGUAGGGAAACUUACGCUAAUACCGCAUACGACCUACGGGUGAAAGCAGGGGAUCUUCGGACCUUGCGCGAUUGAAUGAGCCGAUGUCGGAUGCGCUAGUUGGCGGGGUAAAGGCCCACCAAGGCGACGAUCCGUAGCUGGUCGGAGAGGAUGAUCAGCCACACUGGAACUGAGACACGGUCCAGACUCCUACGGGAGGCAGCAGUGGGGAAUAUUGGACAAUGGGCGCAAGCCUGAUCCAGCCAUACCGCGUGGGUGAAGAAGGCCUUCGGGUUGUAAAGCCCUUUUGUUGGGAAAGAAAAGCAGCAGGUUAAUACCCCGCUGUUCUGACGGUACCCAAAGAAUAAGCACCGGCUAACUUCGCG